rnacentral:rRNA from 1 species
ACGCACGCUGGCGGCGUGCCUAAUACCUGCAAGUCGAACGCACUCUCGUUUAGAUUGAAGGAGUUUGCUCCUGAUUGAUAAACAUUUGAGUGAGUGGCGGACGGGUGAGUAACACGUGGGUAACCUGCCCUAAAGUGGGGGAUAACAUUUGGAAACAGAUGCUAAUACCGCAUAAAACCUAACACCGCAUGGUGUAGGGUUGAAAGAUGGUUUCGGCUAUCACUUUAGGAUGGACCCGCGGUGCAUUAGUUAGUUGGUGAGGUAAAGGCUCACCAAGACCGUGAUGCAUAGCCGACCUGAGAGGGUAAUCGGCCACACUGGGACUGAGACACGGCCCAGACUCCUACGGGAGGCAGCAGUAGGGAAUCUUCCACAAUGGACGAAAGUCUGAUGGAGCAACGCCGCGUGAGUGAAGAAGGUUUUCGGAUCGUAAAACUCUGUUGUUGGAGAAGAAUGUAUCUGAUAGUAACUGAUCAGGUAGUGACGGUAUCCAACCAGAAAGCCACGGCUAACUACGUG